rnacentral:rRNA from 1 species
GACGAACCGUCCAACCGUUAUUCGGAAUUAUUGGGCUUAAAGGGUGCGUAGGCUGUGCAGUAAGUUGGGUGUGAAAUCCCUCGGCUCAACCGAGGAACUGCGCCGAAUACUGCUGCGCUAGAGGGAGAUAGGGGUAAGCGGAACUGAUGGUGGAGCGGUGAAAUGCGUUGAUAUCAUCAGGAACACCGGUGGCGAAGGCGGCUUACUGGAUCUCUUCUGACGCUGAUGCACGAAAGCUAGGGGAGCGAACGGG